ACGGGUGAGUAACACGUGGGCAACCUGCCCUUGAGACUGGGAUAACUUCGGGAAACCGGAGCUAAUACCGGAUAAUAUAAGGAACCUCCUGGUUCCUUGUUGAAAGAUGGUUUCGGCUAUCACUUAAGGAUGGGCCCGCGGCGCAUUAGCUAGUUGGUGAGGUAACGGCUCACCAAGGCGACGAUGCGUAGCCGACCUGAGAGGGUGAUCGGCCACACUGGGACUGAGACACGGCCCAGACUCCUACGGGAGGCAGCAGUAGGGAAUCUUCCACAAUGGACGAAAGUCUGAUGGAGCAACGCCGCGUGAGUGAUGAAGGCCUUCGGGUCGUAAAGCUCUGUUGUUAGGGAAGAACAAGUGCGAGAGUAACUGCUCGCACCUUGACGGUACCUAACCAGAAAGCCACGGCUAACUACGUGCCAGCAGCCGCGGUAAUACGUAGGUGGCAAGCGUUAUCCGGAAUUAUUGGGCGUAAAGCGCGCGCAGGUGGUUUCUUAAGUCUGAUGUGAAAGCCCACGGCUCAACCGUGGAGGGUCAUUGGAAACUGGGGAACUUGAGUGCAGAAGAGGAAAGUGGAAUUCCA
rnacentral:rRNA from 1 species